rnacentral:rRNA from 1 species
AGCGAAUGGAUUAAGAGCUUGCUCUUAUGAAGUUAGCGGCGGACGGGUGAGUAACACGUGGGUAACCUGCCCAUAAGACUGGGAUAACUCCGGGAAACCGGGGCUAAUACCGGAUAACAUUUUGAACCGCAUGGUUCGAAAUUGAAAGGCGGCUUCGGCUGUCACUUAUGGAUGGACCCGCGUCGCAUUAGCUAGUUGGUGAGGUAACGGCUCACCAAGGCAACGAUGCGUAGCCGACCUGAGAGGGUGAUCGGCCACACUGGGACUGAGACACGGCCCAGACUCCUACGGGAGGCAGCAGUAGGGAAUCUUCCGCAAUGGACGAAAGUCUGACGGAGCAACGCCGCGUGAGUGAUGAAGGCUUUCGGGUCGUAAAACUCUGUUGUUAGGGAAGAACAAGUGCUAGUUGAAUAAGCUGGCACCUUGACGGUACCUAACCAGAAAGCCACGGCUAACUACGUGCCAGCAGCCGCGGUAAUACGUAGGUGGCAAGCGUUAUCCGGAAUUAUUGGGCGUAAAGCGCGCGCAGGUGGUUUCUUAAGUCUGAUGUGAAAGCCCACGGCUCAACCGUGGAGGGUCAUUGGAAACUGGGAGACUUGAGUGCAAAAAAGGAAAGUGGAAUUCCAUGUGUAGCGGUGAAAUGCGUAGAGAUAUGGAGGAACACCAGUGGCGAAGGCAACUUUCUGGUCUGUAACUGACACUGAGGCGCGAAAGCGUGGGGAGCAAACAGGAUUAGAUACCCUGGUAGUCCACGCCGUAAACGAUGAGUGYUAAGUGUUAGAGGGUUUCCGCCCUUUAGUGCUGAAGUUAACGCAUUAAGCACUCCGCCUGGGGAGUACGGCCGCAAGGCUGAAACUCAAAGGAAUUGACGGGGGCCCGCACAAGCGGUGGAGCAUGUGGUUUAAUUGGAAGCAACGCGAAGAACCUUACCAGGUCUUGACAUCCUUUGACAACCCUAGAGAUAGGGCUUCUCCUUCGGGAGCAGAGUGACAGGUGGUGCAUGGUUGUCGUCAGCUCGUGUCGUGAGAUGUUGGGUUAAGUCCCGCAACGAGCGCAACCCUUGAUUUUAGUUGCCAUCAUUUAGUUGGGCACUUUAAGGUGACUGCCGGUGACAAACCGGAGGAAGGUGGGGAUGACGUCAAAUCAUCAUGCCCCUUAUGACCUGGGCUACACACGUGCUACAAUGGACGGUACAAAGAGCUGCAAGACCGCGAGGUGGAGCUAAUCUCAUAAAACCGUUUUCAGUUCGGAUUGUAGGCUGCAACUUGCCUACAUGAAGCUGGAAUCGCUAGUAAUCGCGGAUCAG